AUAGCCUAACGGCUGAACCAGCAACUUGGAGGAAUGUAUAGCAAUUGCUAAUUGCACUAAGAAUCUUAGUGUAAAAUCGUGUUUGUCGAAUAAAAUUCUGGAUAGUAUAUGAUAAUGACAUUAACUGUUCAUAAGUCUUGACCAAAUUACGUGCCAGCAGUCGCGGUAAUACGUAGAAGACAAGUGUUAUUCAUCUUUAAUAGGUUUAAAGGGUACUUAGACGGUAAAUUGAGCCUCGAAAAGGGACUAAUUUGCUAGAGUUUUAUGUGAAGAAGUAUUAAAGUACUGCUGGUGUAGAGAUGAAAUUCAAUCAUACCUUAAAUGGCACAGGUUCCGGCGAAAGCAUCUUCUUAUGUAAAAACUGACGUUGAAGGACGAAGGCUUUGUGUCUCGAACAGGAUUAGAUACCCUAGUAGUCUAAGCAGACAAUGAUGAAUGUCAUAGAUUAGAUUUUAUUUGAUCUAUAAAUGAAAGUGUAAGCAUUCCACCUCAAGAGUAAUUUGGCAACAUUGGAACUGAAAUCAUUAGACCGUUUCUGAAACCAGUAGUGAAGUAUGUUGUUUAAUUUGAUAAUCCGCAAAAAACCUUACCACUUUUUGAAUAGAUAUUUUUUUAUCAUACAAGCGUUGCACGGCUGUCUUCAGUUAAUGUCGUGAGAUUUUGGUUAGUUCCAUAAAAUUAACGUAAACCCUUACUUUAUUUUAAGAUAAAGUAGUUCACCGCUAGAUUGGAUGUGACAAUAGGGAUCAAGACAAGUCAUCAUGACCUUAUAUAUAUUGU
rnacentral:rRNA from 2 species